UACGUAGGGUGCAAGCGUUAAUCGGAAUUACUGGGCGUAAAGCGUGCGCAGGCGGUGAUGUAAGACAGUUGUGAAAUCCCCGGGCUCAACCUGGGAACUGCAUCUGUGACUGCAUCGCUGGAGUACGGUAGAGGGGGACGGAAUUCCGCGUGUAGCAGUGAAAUGCGUAGAUAUGCGGAGGAACACCGAUGGCGAAGGCAAUCCCCUGGACCUGUACUGACGCUCAUGCACGAAAGCGUGGGGAGCAAACAGG
rnacentral:rRNA from 1 species